rnacentral:lncRNA from 10 species
AUGAAAUGUAAAGUGAUGACUUAAAUAUGGAAAAGGAACCAUUUGAUUAAAAAGCCAAACUAUGAAGCUUCAAAGACAAGAUGUUACCUUGUGCAAAACCCUGCCAUGGGGAAAAACUGUGUUUCAAGAGUGGAAAGAGCCCUGUCUCAUUAGGAGUGAGGGUCUUGAAUGGUGCCUGUGGUUGUAGACAGCAGAGCAGAGCUUUAGCAUCCUGGAGAUUUGUAAUUGUACUCCACAAGUAACUAAAGGAUUUAAGGCAGAGGAGGGAAAGAAUCUUGCUUAC